rnacentral:rRNA from 1 species
UGGGGAAUUUUGGACAAUGGGCGAAAGCCUGAUCCAGCAAUGCCGCGUGUGUGAAGAAGGCCUUCGGGUUGUAAAGCACUUUUGUCCGGAAAGAAAUCCUUGGCUCUAAUACAGUCGGGGGAUGACGGUACCGGAAGAAUAAGCACCGGCUAACUACGUGCCAGCAGCCGCGGUAAUACGUAGGGUGCAAGCGUUAAUCGGAAUUACUGGGCGUAAAGCGUGCGCAGGCGGUUUGCUAAGACCGAUGUGAAAUCCCCCGGGCUCAACCUGGGAACUGCAUGGUGACUGGCAGGCUAGAGUAUGGCAGAGGGGGGUAGAAUUCCACGUGUAGCAGUGAAAUGCGUAGAGAUGUGGAGGAAUACCGAUGGCGAAGGCAGCCCCCUGGGCCAAUACUGACGCUCAUGCACGAAAGCGUGGGGAGCAAACAGGAUUAGAUACCCUGGUAGUCCACGCCCUAAACGAUGUCAACUAGUUGUUGGGGACUUCAUUUCCUUAGUAACGUAGCUAACGCGUGAAGUUGACCGCCUGGGGAGUACGUCGCAAGAUUAAAACUCAAAUGAAUUG